CAGUCGCCGCGGUAAUACGUAGGUCCCGAGCGUUGUCCGGAUUUAUUGGGCGUAAAGCGAGCGCAGGCGGUUAGAUAAGUCUGAAGUUAAAGGCUGUGGCUUAACCAUAGCACGCUUUGGAAACUGUUUAACUUGAGUGCAAGAGGGGAGAGUGGAAUUCCAUGUGUAGCGGUGAAAUGCGUAGAUAUAUGGAGGAACACUGGUGGCGAAAGCGGCUCUCUGGCUUGUAACUGACGCUGAGGCUCGAAAGCGUGGGGAGCAAACAGGAUUAGAUACCCGAGUAGUCCCUGUCUCUUAUACA
rnacentral:rRNA from 1 species